UUUUAACGGUGUAGAUCGUUGAUUUGAACGCCCUAAGAUCGAAAACCAACACUAUAGUACCGGAGCUCGGUACUAUAGAUAGUAUAGUAGCCUAGCUCUAUAUAUAUAUAUAUUUUUUUUCAGAGGAAGGAAGAGAAGGAAUUAGCGUUAUAUGGACGAGUAUUUUCUUCAGAAGAUCCAAAUACUUCUGGGUUAGAACCCGACAAUACUGAUAAUGACCAUGAGGAAGACGAGCUCGAAAUAAAAGCAUCAGUUUCAGGUAAGUUGUAAUUAAUAGAAUUUGUAGCCUUAGGUUAGUAUUAGCAUAGUCUGCCGGCAAAUGAUGAUGAUAGUUUUGUUCCUUUAUCUAUUUUACUAUUAUUGAAGGAUCUGUUGUUAAUUGAAUUUGCUAAAACUUUUGGUUGGUAUUUUUGAAGAAACAAAGACCUAUGAAGAUGGCUGUACCACAAU
rnacentral:lncRNA from 1 species